UACGUAGGGUGCAAGCGUUGUCCGGAAUUAUUGGGCGUAAAGAGCUCGUAGGCGGUCUGUCGCGUCUGCUGUGAAAACUCGGGGCUUAACCCCGGGCCUGCAGUGGGUACGGGCAGACUAGAGUGCGGUAGGGGAGACUGGAAUUCCUGUGUAGCGGUGAAAUGCGCAGAUAUCAGGAGGAACACCGGUGGCGAAGGCGGGUCUCUGGGCCGUAACUGACGCUGGAGGAGCGAAAGCAUGGGGAGCGAACAGG
rnacentral:rRNA from 1 species